ACAGCCAUACCACAUUAAAAUACUGGAUCUUGUAUGAUCACCAAAGUUAAGCCAUGUCAAGUCUGGUUAGUACCUAGAUAGGUGACUGCUUGGGAAUACCAGGUGCUGUAAG